rnacentral:SRP_RNA from 2 species
GCCAGGCGUGGUGGCGGGAGCCUGUAGUCCCAGCUACUGGGGAGGCUGAGGCAGGAGAAUGGUGUGAACCUGGGAGGCGGAGCUUGCAGUGAGUUGAGAUCGCGCCACUGCACUCCAACCUGGGGGACAGAGCGAGACUCUGUCUCAAAAAAAAAAAAAAAAAAAAAGAAAAGAAAAAAGAAAAAUGGUCUCGUUAACUUUCACUUUUUUUUGAGACGGAGUCUUGCUCUGUCGCCCAGGGUGGAGUGUAGUGGCGCAAUCUCAGCUCACUGCAGCCUCUGCCUCCUGGGUUCAAACAAUUCUCCUGCCUCAG